UACGGGGAUAGGGCAAGCGUUGUCCGGAUUUAUUGGGCGUAAAGAGCGUGUAGGCGGUCAGGUAGGUCCGUUGUGAAAACUCGAGGCUCAACCUCGAGACGCCGAUGGAAACCAUCUGACUAGAGUCCGGAAGAGGAGAGUGGAAUUCCUGGUGUAGCGGUGAAAUGCGCAGAUAUCAGGAAGAACACCCGUGGCUAAGGCGGCUCUCUAGUACGGUACUGACGCUGAGACGCGAAAGCGUGGGGAGCGAACAGG
rnacentral:rRNA from 1 species